CUGCGUCGCUUUCAUUUUGUCUACACAACAGCAAAGAUUAUUGAGCGACUCAUCUUCUCUCUGUUUUAUAACCGAGUAAUAUCUGAUCUAAUGAUCGAGACACAUACAGGAUUUCAGUGCAGAGCCACAUCACCAAACAUCCCGGAAACAUAAAGGGAGAGCCUUGAUUGGACCGCACAAGGGAGCGUCUGCAAAUUACAAGUGACACUGUUACACGCACAACUGUACACUAAGGGACUGUCAACAAAUAUAAAACGUACAAUCGUACAAACAAAUUUAAACUGGCGUGCUUUCUAGAAAAUUUUAAUAGAAACCAAUUGGAAAUAAUCUUUUCGGUUGGGAAUUUCCUAAGGGUCCAAAACAGGAUGGGAGGGCAUGAUUUAAAGAUUAGCAUGAUUGUUAAUUAUGGAAAGCAGUUAGGACGCAGUCUACUUCUGUUGGCACACUACAUUACAGUGUUUGUGAGCUUUAUUUCUCGGUCUGUGAACUGUUUUGCGGAAAUAAUCAAAUGGAUGUCACUGUUUGCCAGAUACACAGUGGCAGUAUUUGAUUCCGUUCACAGGAGCCUGGAUUGGUGGACCAGAAGACGCAGUAGGGUGGCCAUAGAUAUGGUUUCCAGCAGUGACACUGAGUCAGACUGAAUGACAUCAAGUUGCUAUCAACUCAAAGGAGAUUUUCAUAGCAAACCAAAAUCCAUUAUGAUGAAUAUAAAAAAUUUUUAUGGAUGGACACAGAGCUAUAUAGUAGGUUCCAGGAGCAACACUAUCCUGCAACAUGACAUUUUGUACAAAGCACUAAGCUUUUUAGCAUUCCUGAAGUAACUGAGCAGAUGCAGGGCUGUUUCUAGCUAUGAGUGGCAUAAGUGGCCGCUUAGGGCCCUGAGCCACCAGGGGGCCCUGCAAAGCAAUUUCUUUAUAUAUAUAUAUAUAUAUAUAUAUAUAUAUAUAUAGAUAUAGAUAUAGAUGUAUAAUACUUAUACUAAAAGAUGGGAGUAAGACUCAGGCAGCUGUUAUGCCUAAAUUAGACAGUUCUAGGGUGGCCCCUUGUGGCCUGAGAAGGAAGGGAGAAUGUAACUGCAAGGGGAGAGUUAUAGACGUGACAGGGGCCUCCAAGUAGGAUUUCACUUAGUACCCUCAUAUGCUCAGAAAUGGCCCUGAGCAGGUGCUUGCUUUUUUUUAACAUUUCAAUGGGCUUAUCUGAAGCCCUGAAGUUUAUUGGUUAACUUUGAACACUUAUAACCACUGUUAUAACCACGCCCGAUGGUCUGAAGACUCAUAACCACACUUGUUUUUCAGGUCUAAACCAGUACUGGAAGGAGCCAACAAAUGCAUACAAUUAUUCUGUUUUGUUUGGCCUCCCAGUUUACAGUGACACUUUUGCCAACCAAAUUCAUUUUUAAAUUAUUCCAUAUCCACUGAACAAGAUUGAACUGCUAAGUACAGUUAAAGAAAGAAGUGAAUUGAAUGUCUUUUCACUGACCCCAUUGGAGAUUACUUACACUAAGCAAGUAAAUGUUUGUAAAAGGGACCUGUGAUCAAAAAUAUGGCAUAAUUAGUGUCGGAAGGGAAACUUGGGUAAUCUAACAGGUUAAUUCUUUUGAUGGGAUAACCUGGGCUAAAUCAGCUUCAACAUGUGAUAACUAUAUUAAAAGCACUUCAUAUUAGGAAUGAAAGCUUUGUAUUUUGUCUGUAUAAGUACUUAACCACUGACUGUAAAAGUGUUUACUUCUGUAAUGAAAGGUAAUAGAAGUAUUUUUAAACUUAUUAUGAUUUUAAAUGUAUGAUUCAUAUUUUGCACUAAAAAUGAACUCUUAAUGGAGCAAUAUGUAACAUUGACAUCAAGCGUUUAAAAUGGGUACCGCAGUCCAGAUUCAAAAUAUUGGGGAGCGCUGUCUCUCCCGCCCCCUCCUCCCCCGAUUCGAAGCUCACGUGGGUGGCCAGGUUUAAGACACGCAACAGGAAUGAGCAAACUGACAAUGGCAAGUGAGGAGCCUUACACUGCAAAUUCAUCUGCUAAUGUAUACGCUUGCAAUAUUUUAUUGUUUGCAAAUUAUAAACCAGCUCAUGUGAAUUUUUUAAAACUCUGUCAAUGUUAGCUAGAUGUAUUGCUGGCUUCCAUGGCUGCAUUGCACUGUGUUUGCCCGCUAACUUGUUUAAAAACUGGCAAACCAGGGUGUCGAAAUACUAUUGGGAAAUAGGCAGUGGGCGGGAUCACACAGGCCAAAACACAAACAGAAAUUCCGGCCCGGAAUGGCCAUUUUAAAGUAAAAUAUACUGGCUGUAGCAUUGUUUACGGAGAAGCCAGUAUGUCAACUUAGCAUGUAUCCUAAAUCUCUGAUAACAUAUGAUAAUUUUAUGUGUUAUUAUAGUAAAUAUAUUACAUAUUGCUCCUUUAAAUCUCAGUCCAGACAGUUUCAGUAACAGUUUAACUGAAUUUCACCUUGAAAAGAGAAAUUUUUUGGGAACCUCCAAAAUUUGUAUAUGUGAAUAUUUGUGGUUUAAUGUGAGGUGUCAAAUAGUAUCUCAUACAAAAGCUGAAGAUAAUGUUUUAGUUCUGUAUUUAACCUUUAUAAAGGUAUAUUCUGUGUUCAAAAGUUAAGCUAAAUUGAUAGCGUUUUUGGCAUAAUGUUGAUUUAUGGGGGAAAAAAUCGACUGAAGGUGAAAAGGGACAAUUUUUAGAGGGUUUUAAAGGCAGAAAUUUUAUGAAAGCACUUAGUCCUACAUUAACUAUUCAGUUAAAACAUUUGUAUUAUUUGAAGUGUAAAGUUCAUUAAGGGGCAAAACAUACUUUAUGCAAGUUUGUGAAUGCAGACGCAUCUUGAAACUUGAGCUCGAUUUCAUGCGUCAUCCCGUUCUGAAAUGUGUCAGACCUAGGGACGGAUUAUGAUUUGCAUAGGCCCUAGGGCAAAUUAUCUUCAAGGGACCCCCUCCACCCAAAAGUUGAUUCGUUGUUCAUGCCCAAAAGGGUUUUCAAGCGGAGGGAUCACCAAACUAGAUCAUGCAGCCUUAAAGCCCAGGUCACCCCUGGGUAGUCAAGGUCCCCCGGGCACUGGCCCCAAUGGCCCGGUCGGUAAUCCGACCACAAAUCAUUGCCCAAUGCAAGUAUGCGUUACAUUCUGAACAUUGCUGUAAGGACCGCUAUAGCGUGUUUAGUGUGAGCAGUCCACUUCUACUGUGUUUUUUUUUCUUCUCUCUUUUAAGUGAAUUACUGUCAUGGCAGAGCAACAGUUUGAAGAGAAUAUUGCAGUUAUUACAAUAUUGCAAUGUCACUGGCUUUUGAAGGUAAAUCUAUUGCCCCCUUGAGUACUGACAGUGAGUAUUUUAACAUUUACAGAUUGGCCCCAUUCACUUCCACUUUAAGAGCUUCACUGUAACCCAAAUUUUUACACUUUUUUUAAAGAAAGAAAAGGAGAGACAAGUCUAAAUAAAUUUUUGUGGUAUCAACAUUAUUCCACAAAUGCUGUCGACUGAGCUUAACUUAGCUUAACAGGUAUUGAACCUGGAAUAUUCAUUUUAAAUAGCACUAUGAAACACACAGUAUUUCUUUGAUAGAAUAUGGAAACCGUUUCUUGACCAAUGUACUGUAGAUACAGUUAGGAUGUCUUAUUUGACAAUCAGAUACCAGUUUUUCCUAUGAAGGAUGUAGAAGCUUCAAUGUUCAAACUAAGCCCGAUAUUUUUGGCACUGUAAUAUUUGUUUUCAAAUUCAUUGUUUUGAAUCAGUAGCAAAGUAUAUGUAUACUGUACAUCAUUAUUGUAAAGGCUCUGUCAUGUAUGUUGAAAAUAUCUGCUGAAGAUGUUUUUUUAUCUGUUACCAUAUAGUACUAUGACAAUGGAUCACAAAUGUGAUAUUAAAAAUUAACAUUUCAGAACAGAA